AGGCACCAGUUCGCUUACGAUCACCGAAAUUAAGCAAUGUUGAACUUGGUCAGUACUUAGAUGGGUGACUAUUCGGAAAUACCAGGUGCCGAAA